AGAGUUUGAUCCUGGCUCAGGACGAACGCUGGCGGCGCGCCUAACACAUGCAAGUCGAACGAGCGAGAGAGAGCUUGCUUUCUCGAGCGAGUGGCGAACGGGUGAGUAACGCGUGAGGAACCUGCCUCAAAGAGGGGGACAACAGUUGGAAACGACUGCUAAUACCGCAUAAGCCCACGGCUCGGCAUCGAGCAGAGGGAAAAGGAGCAAUCCGCUUUGAGAUGGCCUCGCGUCCGAUUAGCUAGUUGGUGAGGUAACGGCCCACCAAGGCAACGAUCGGUAGCCGGACUGAGAGGUUGAACGGCCACAUUGGGACUGAGACACGGCCCAGACUCCUACGGGAGGCAGCAGUGGGGAAUAUUGCACAAUGGGGGAAACCCUGAUGCAGCGACGCCGCGUGGAGGAAGAAGGUCUUCGGAUUGUAAACUCCUGUUGUUGGGGAAGAUAAUGACGGUACCCAACAAGGAAGUGACGGCUAACUACGUGCCAGCAGCCGCGGUAAAACGUAGGUCACAAGCGUUGUCCGGAAUUACUGGGUGUAAAGGGAGCGCAGGCGGGAAGACAAGUUGGAAGUGAAAUCUAUGGGCUCAACCCAUAAACUGCUUUCAAAACUGUUUUUCUUGAGUAGUGCAGAGGUAGGCGGAAUUCCCGGUGUAGCGGUGGAAUGCGUAGAUAUCGGGAGGAACACCAGUGGCGAAGGCGGCCUACUGGGCACCAACUGACGCUGAGGCUCGAAAGUGUGGGUAGCAAACAGGAUUAGAUACCCUGGUAGUCCACACCGUAAACGAUGAUUACUAGGUGUUGGAGGAUUGACCCCUUCAGUGCCGCAGUUAACACGAUAAGUAAUCCACCUGGGGAGUACGACCGCAAGGUUGAAACUCAAAGGAAUUGACGGGGGCCCGCACAAGCAGUGGAGUAUGUGGUUUAAUUCGACGCAACGCGAAGAACCUUACCAAGUCUUGACAUCCCUUGACAGGCAUAGAAAUAUGUUUUCUCUUCGGAGCAAGGAGACAGGUGGUGCAUGGUUGUCGUCAGCUCGUGUCGUGAGAUGUUGGGUUAAGUCCCGCAACGAGCGCAACCCUUAUGGUCAGUUACUACGCAAGAGGACUCUGGCCAGACUGCCGUUGACAAAACGGAGGAAGGUGGGGAUGACGUCAAAUCAUCAUGCCCUUUAUGACUUGGGCUACACACGUGCUACAAUGGCGUAAACAAAGAGAAGCGAACUCGCGAGGGUAAGCAAAUCUCAAAAAUAACGUCUCAGUUCGGAUUGUAGUCUGCAACUCGACUACAUGAAGCUGGAAUCGCUAGUAAUCGCAGAUCAGAAUGCUGCGGUGAAUACGUUCCCGGGUCUUGUACACACCGCCCGUCACACCAUGGGAGUCAGUAACGCCCGAAGUCAGUGACCCAACCGUAAGGAGGGAGCUGCCGAAGGUGGGACCGAUAACUGGGGUGAAGUCGUAACAAGGUA
rnacentral:rRNA from 1 species